rnacentral:rRNA from 1 species
ACCGAACGGCAUGGGAAGGCCGGUCAGAGAGUGUGAGAACCACGUAGGUGAAAAUGACGAGAGCUGAGCGAUUUCCAGAGUACGGCCAGACACGUGAAACCUGGUCGGAAGAUGGGGGGACCACCCUCCAACCCUAAAUACUACCCAGUGACCGAUAGCGUAUAGUACUGUGAAGGAAAGGUGAAAAGCACCCCGGGAGGGGAGUGAAAAAGAACCUGAAACCCUGUGCCUACAAGCACCUAGAGCACGUCAAUGUGUGAUAGGGUACUUUUUGUAGAACGGUCCGGCGAGCGAUUGUAUGCAGCAAGGUUAAGGACUUAAGGUCUGGAGCCGAAGCGAAAGCGAGUUUGAAAAGGGCGUUAAGUUGCAUAUAAUGGGCCCGAAACCGGGUGACCUACCCAUGGUCAGGUUGAAGUGGAAGUAAAAUUCCAUGGAGGACCGAACCGACCUCCGUUGAAAAGGCGGCGGAUGAACUGUGGGUAGCGGAGAAAUUCCAAUCGAACCCGGAGAUAGCUGGUUCUCCCCGAAAUAGUUUUAGGACUAGCCUCAAGUUAGAUACCUGGAGGUAAAGCACUGAAUAGCCUAGCGGCCGAGAGGUUAGCGAAGCUUAUCAAACUCAGAAUGCCAGAGUAUUGAUGCUUGGGAGUCAGACAGUGUCAGAUAAAUGUCAUUGUCAAAAGGGAAACAGCCCAGAUCUACAGCUAAGGUCCCAAAGUCAGGUUAAGUGGAAAACGAUGUGAAGAUACGCAGACAACCAGGAUGUUGGCUCAGAAGCAGCCACUCAUUCAAAGAGUGCGUAAUAGCUCACUGGUCGAGCGUCUUUGCGCGGAGAAUUUAACGGGGCUAAACCUGACACCGAAGCUUAGGCAAUCCAGUAAUGGAUUGGGUAGGGGAGCGUUGUAUACGCGGAGAAACAGUAGCGUAAGCGGCUGUGGAGUGUAUAGAAGUGAGAAUGCCGGAAUGAGUAGCGCGAAUGCAGUGAGAAUCUGCAUGGCCGAAAGCCUCAGGUUUUUGGAGGAAGGUUCGUCCGCUCCAAGUUAGUCGGGAGCUAAGGUGAGGCCGGAAGGCGUAGCCGAUGCACAGACGGUAGAGAUUCCGUCACCACCAAAAGAGUUAAGCACAGGGACACAUUUGAAGUCUCAGAGCCGGGUGUUGGUUCCGGUAGAGAUCGAGGGAAGUUAGUACCGAAGUCUGGGAUGGAAGAUGGCGAGAAAAGCUGUGUGUAUUUCUGAGGUGCCCGUACCGCAAACCGACACAGGUAGGUAGGAAGAAGAUUCUAAGGCCAACGGGAGAAGGGUUGUUAAGGAACUCGGCAAAUUGACCCCGUAACUUCGGGAGAAGGGGUGCUCCAGAGAUGGAGCCGCAGAGAAUCGGCCCAAGCAACUGUUUACCAAAAACACAGGUUUGUGCUAAAUCGAAAGAUGACGUAUACGAGCUGACGCCUGCCCGGUGCUGGAAGGUUAAGAGGAGAUGUGCAAGCAUUGAAUCGAAGCCCCAGUGAACGGCGGCCGUAACUAUAACGGUCCUAAGGUAGCGAAAUUCCUUGUCAGGUAAGUUCUGACCCGCAUGAAAGGCGUAAUGAUUUGGGCACUGUCUCAACAGCCCGCCCGGCGAAAUUGUAGUACCGGUGAAGAUGCCGGUUACCCGCGACAAGACGGAAAGACCCCAUGGAGCUUUACUGUAGCCUAAUAUUGGGUUUCGAUGUUGCAUGCACAGGAUAGAUGGGACACUGGGAAACAAUCGCUUUGGCGGUUGCGGAGUGGCCGUUGGGAUACCAUCCUUGCGAUAUUGGAAUUCUAACCUGCGGCUCUGAAUCGAGUCGGGGGACAUUGUUAGGUGGGCAGUUUGACUGGGGCGGUCGCCUCCUAAAAAGUAACGGAGGCGUUCAAAGGUUCGCUCAGCUUGAACGGAAAUCAAGCAAAAGAGUGCAAACGCAGAAGCGAGCCUAACUGCGAGACUGACGGGUCGAGCAGUAACGAAAGUUGGAGUUAGUGAUCCGGUGGUAUGUGAGUGGAAAUGCCAUCGCUCAACGGAUAAAAGUUACCCUGGGGAUAACAGGCUGAUCUCCCCCAAGAGUCCACAUCGACGGGGAGGUUUGGCACCUCGAUGUCGGCUCAUCGCAUCCUGGGGCUGAAGUAGGUCCCAA